rnacentral:tRNA from 1 species
CAUUAGGUGACUGAAAAGAAAGUAUAAGUCUUUUAAACUUAUUAUAGUAAUCGCCUACUCCUAGUGA